AUUGAACGCUGGCGGCAGGCCUAACACAUGCAAGUCGGACGAGUGGCGGGCGGGUGAGUACUGUCUGGGGAACUGCCCGAUAGAGGGGGAUAAAUACUGGAAACGGUAGCUAAUACCGCAUACCAUCGGAUGUGCCCAGAUGUGAGUAGCGUUUAGGUGAGGUAACGCGUCACCUAGGCGACGAGCCCUAGCUGGUCUGAGAGGAUGACCAGCCACACUGGAACUGAGACACGGCCCAGACUCCUACGGGAGGCAGCAGUGGGGAAUAUUGCACAAUGGGCGCAAGCCUGAUGCAGCCAUGCCGCGUGUAUGAAGAAGGCCUUCGGGUUGUAAAGUACUUUCAGUGGGGAGGCGUUACCCGCAGAAGAAGCACCGGCUAACUCCGUGCCAGCAGCCGCGGUAAUAC
rnacentral:rRNA from 1 species